UACGGGGGGGAGCAAGCGUUGUCCGGAUUUAUUGGGCGUAAAGAGCGUGUAGGCGGCUUUACAGGUCCGUUGUGAAAACUCGAGGCUCAACCUCGAGACGCCGGUGGAAACCGUAAGGCUAGAGUCCGGAAGAGGAGAGUGGAAUUCCUGGUGUAGCGGUGAAAUGCGCAGAUAUCAGGAAGAACACCGGUGGCGAAGGCGGGUCUCUGGGCAGUAACUGACGCUGAGGAGCGAAAGCGUGGGGAGCGAACAGG
rnacentral:rRNA from 1 species